GAUGAACGCUGGCGGCGUGCUUAACACAUGCAAGUCGAACGGAAAGGCCCAAGUUUGCUUGGGUACUCGAGUGGCGAAAGGGUGAGUCAGAUGUGGGUGAUCUGCCUUGCAUUUCGGCAUAUGCCUGGGAAACUGGGUCUACUACCGGUUAGGACCACCACUUGGACGUUGUGGUGGCAAGGUUUUUCGGUGAGGGAUAAGCUCGUGGCCUAUCAGCUUGUUGGUAGGGUGUUGGCCUACCAAGGCGUCGACGAGUAGCCGGCCUGAGAGGGUGUACGGCCACAUUGGGACUGAGAUACGGCCCAGACACCUGCGGGAGGCAGCGGUGGAGAAGAUUGCGCAAGAGGCGCAAGCCUGAUGCAGCGACGCCGCGUGGGUGAGGACGGCCUUCGGGUUGUAAGCUCCUUUCGCUAGGGACGAAGCGUUUUGUGACGGUACCUGGAGAAGAAGCAUCGGCUAACUACGUG
rnacentral:rRNA from 1 species